rnacentral:rRNA from 1 species
UACAGAGGUCUCAAGCGUUAAUCGGAAUUACUGGGCUUAAAGGGUCCGCAGGCGGACCAGCAAGUACCUUGUGAAAUCUCAGGUCUCAACCCUGAGUCUGCUGGGUAGACUGCUGGUCUUGAGUGCAAAAGGGGUCGCUGGAACUCUAGGUGGAGCGGUGAAAUGCGUAGAUAUCUAGAGGAACGCCAAAGGUGAAGACAGGCGACUGGUUUGCAACUGACGCUCAUGGACGAAAGCGUGGGGAGCGAACAGG